CCUGAUCAGCAUGCCGCGUGGGUGAAGAAGGCCUUCGGGUUGUAAAGCCCUUUCGGUGGGGAAGAAAUCGGUCGGGCGAAUAGUCCGGCCGGAUGACGGUACCCGCAGAAGAAGCACCGGCUAACUACGUGCCAGCAGCCGCGGUAAUUACGUUAGGGUGCCGAGCGUUAAUCGGGAAUUUCUGGGGCGUAAAGGGUUGCGCAAGCCG
rnacentral:rRNA from 1 species